AUGGGGGUGGGGCUGCUGACCACUCUUCUUGCUCUGGCCUCUGCACCCGGGACCCUGGCAGGGUGGCUGGGAAGGCUGGACCCGAACCAGCUUCUGGGGCCCUGGUACAUCCUGGCCGUGGCCUCCCAGGAGAAGAACUUUGUGGUGGAGAAGAAUGUGAGGAGCAUCGAGGGCGUCGUGGUGACUCUCACACCAGAAAACAAGCUGAGAGUGUGGUCCUCCCUGCGCAGGCUGGAUGGUUGCCACCAGAGGACUGUGGAACUACUGAAGCAAGAGUCCAGAUGGGUGUUUGAGAACCCCUCCCUGGGUGUGCUGGACUUCCGGGUGCUGGGCACCAACUUCAAGGACUACGCCAUCAUCUUCAUGCAGCUGGAGCAGGAGGACGAAGCCUUCAGCACCGUGGAGCUGUACAGUCGCACAGCUGUGGCCAGUCAGGAGGCCAUGCGGCUCUUCACCAAGUGGAGCAAGAGCCUGGGCUUCCUGUCCCACGAGCAAGUCCAGCUGCAGGAGGACCGUGAGUGACCCCAGGGAGCCCCAAGGACAAGCUGGUCACCUGCGCACACGAGAUCGUCCAGGGUGUGCGCAGUGCUCUGUGAAGGGGCACCGUCUGGUCUGUCUGGAGCUGGGCCGGGCUGUGCUCUCCGUGGCUGGAGGAGGAACUGGUGCUGCUCGCGGCUCCCACAGGACCCUCUCCUGAGCUCAGAAUAAAGCGACUGCAAACCUUC